rnacentral:lncRNA from 1 species
CCGCUCACUCAUCCCCGUAUCUUUUUGAAAAUCUCUUUGGAGUUUCCCUCCUUUUUCUCUCCCACUUAUAAAUUUUGGGACUUAGGGUUUCUCUUUCUUCACAUUCAGUAUGACUAAUUUGAACAUAUAUCAGACCCAUCUCUACCCAUUCACCGCCGAUGCCGCCGGUAAAUUCCUAAUCUAGGCAGCGAAUGCACUAUUUUAUACUGUUGUCAGUUUUCUUUUGUGUGUUGA